CGCCGAGAGCAGCCGAGAGUCCCGCGGACGCGAGCGGAAUACUGAUGCUGAUGUGAAGAGCUACAGCCAUGCCAGCAAGCUGCCUCAUGCUCUGCAAACGCAGCCAUGAAACGUGGCCACCUCCAUGCCUUCCUUUCCAUGAUGGACCUGCGAACUGUGAACCAAGCAAGUCCUCCCAUGCUUAAGCCGCUUCUUGUCAGACUCAGGAAAAGGCAUACUUGCAGCCCUGGAUUCAAUCUUUAGUUCCUUAAAAA
rnacentral:lncRNA from 1 species